UGGGGAAUCUUGCACAAUGGGGGCAACCCUGAUGCAGCGACGCCGCGUGAGCGAUGAAGGUUUUCGAAUCGUAAAGCUCUGUCCUAUGGGAAGAUAAUGACGGUACCAUAGGAGGAAGCCCCGGCUAACUACGUGCCAGCAGCCGCGGUAAUACGUAGGGGGCGAGCGUUGUCCGGAAUUACUGGGCGUAAAGGGUUCGCAGGCGGCAUGGCAAGUCCGAUGUAAAAGGCGAAGGCUCAACCUUCGUAAGCAUCAGAAACUGUCAAGCUUGAGUGAAGGAGAGGCAAGUGGAAUUCCUAGUGUAGCGGUGGAAUGCGUAGAUAUUAGGAGGAAUACCGGUGGCGAAGGCGACUUGCUGGACUUCAACUGACGCUGAGGAACGAAAGCGUGGGUAGCAAACAGG
rnacentral:rRNA from 1 species